CUCUCAUAUUGUUACUCCUAUAAAUCUAACGCCGUCGUUAAACUCCAGCAACAUCCCAAGUCCCUAAUUUCUCAGAUUUCACCGCCUCCUCUUCUCAAAAUCGUCUCUUCUCUAUUCUCCCUUCUCAUUAGAAUGCAAAUAGUCAAUUUGUUCAAUGUAAUCCACCAUUAACCAUUGUCACGAUCAUGGCGUAAUCGUCAAUCACUCAACUACGGGAACUAUAUUUAAGGUAUAUUUUUAUUUAUUAAUCAUUGGUUAUUUCGUAAAUUAAAAAGGUUUUUCAUUAAUUUGAGAAAAUAAAUUUUCUUUGGAACAAUUUCAGACACGGGUGUUAGUUUCUAUUCGAUAAUUAGCCACCUUUUGCGCGGUGCCUUUACAGUUGCUAUUCAUCACGAUUGAAGGGAACUUUGAUUUUGUUUGUAUAGUACGCCUCUAACUUUUUAAACAGCUAUAAUUUUUCCAAUUGGAAGAAUUCCCAGAAAUGAAUGGUUUUUUCUGCUUAAAUGUAUAUAUUGUAUUCAAAUGACUCCAUCAUAAGAGUCAACAGCAAGUGCCUGUUAAUGGUAAUUUGACUGCCGCUUGGAGCCAAUAUCAAAACUAGCCAGAGGAAGAUUGCUUGUAACUCAUGGUUGUUUCAUGCCACUAUACCUGGCUAUAUUUCAUUGAUUAAUCUUUCUAGAGAUUGUUGCUUCAUCUGUGAUUGAAAUAUGAAUUGAAUUGGUUAGUGGGUCUGUUCUUAUUUCAUUGCCUUUAAGCCGUAGCUUUGUGAUUCCUUGAGUUUCAAUUUCAUUGAUUAAAGGUUCAAGCAUUACAAUUUCAUUGAGAUUUGAACCCAUUAUAAGAUCUGAUUGUCUGUUGGUUACGUUAUUAUUAAAAUGAGACGGAGGAUGCUAUAUAGCCUUCGAAUAGCUGAAUGGUUUAUCUAAUAAUCAUUUGGUUCAGACAGAGGCUUACAUUGGAAAGAAAUAAAUCCCUUGAACAAAUCUGUUUAAGGGUAAGGAUUGCUUUUUUGAUGCAGUUCUUUUCCUAGAUUAUUUCAAACAUAUCCUUUUAUCAUUUUCAUUUGAGGAUUGUACUAUAAUCCUUUGUCAGUGACGAGCCUUUAACAUAUAAGAAGAUCUAACUUUGUGUUAGAUCUUCAAUGCAAUACACUUGUUAACGCUUGGCUUCUGAGAUGAACCAUCAUUUCAAACAUUUUGCAAAAAACAAUGCUGCAUUGCAUGCGUCACAUCUCCCCUGUAUGUGGGUUGUUUUGAGAGAUAUCUCAUGUUUUCGGCAAUAUAUGGUGUUAUGAUAAUCACAUAUAAAUUGGCUUUUAUAUAUUUGAUUUGUAUUAGUAUUGCAUCUGAUUUACCUACUCUUCAGUUCACUAUAUUGAGGUGUCUGAUGAGAUAUAGCGGAUGCAUAUAAGAGAAAGGAUGGCUUACCAGCCCAAAGCAUGGAGCUUUGCUAUUGCUCUGGUGUCAAAUGGACCUUCCUAAAUCCCUAUCUUUGUUUUUUAUUAGAUAAUUUGGCAAAUGAUGAAAUAAGUUUUAUGCUUAACACUGACAUUUUUGAGUGUUGACUACAAACUCCGCUUAUUAUCUGAUGUCAUUUUUUAAAUCUUGGACUUUUUUUUUGUAUUUUUUGAAGUUAUUUGAUUGGCAUAUGAUGAAUGAAUCUCUUGAAAAUACUUAUUCCUACACUCUGAAAUUUAUUGUUGAUUCAGAUUUACUCAAA